UCGAAUCAUUUUAAAGAAUCACAUGAAUCUCUUCAUGAAUUCGUUUACGGACGAGACUGAAUCAGUAACUGUGCUUCUCGAGUCAACAACUCACCAAUUCAUUUGAAAAUCAUUCAAGAACAUCAUCUUUUCCAGACUUUUGAAUUCGUAAUGAAAGAAAAUUAAGCUGGUAAUCAUUUUGAGUGACCAAAUGGGGUGAAAGGCGACUGAUGCAAGAUUGUGAACAAAUAUCUCCAGCGCAGGCCGAAGCAGAAGGCGAAUGCAGUGCGAUACCGUAAAACAUGUGAGCCCGGUCGAAGCGGAUGAUGAGUUACAUAAAAAGUCAGGCAGAAGGGGACUGAACAUCAUCCAAGAUCUUAUUAGAGACAAAGAAGCAUUCUCCUCUUCUCUGUCAAGGGUCCUCUCCGUCUGAAAGGAAAGUGCAUGUUCUUGAUUUCUAACACAUGUAUCAGAACACAUAAAACAGUGUCUGUAGGACUGCAGGACUGCUCUUGAUGUGCUGGGAAAGAGAGUUUAGGCCAGCGGUGAUUUGCGGAGCCCACAUUACUUAUUCCGCUCUGAUCGUUUUCAUCCUCAAAUACGCUGCAAGGAAAGUCAGGCUGAUCCUGCAGGACGCAGAGACUCUAAACAAACAUAUUAGUGGUGUUUGUUUGCUUUCUGGACAGCCAUGGGUAAUGUUGACUUGAUUACUUGCACUCCUUUUUUUAAUUGUAUUUAACUGACAGCAAAGACAAAAAGGAAAUAAUCAUGUAACAUAUAAAUGUAUUUUCUAGUUCCACAAAAAUGUUAAC